rnacentral:rRNA from 1 species
UGAAUACGAGAUGCUACGGCGUCGAAGCAGUGUAUGUCAGACUUCCAAGAAAAGCUCGCAAUGUCAUAAAUAAAGAAUGCCUGUACCAUAACCGACACAGGUGGGUAGGUAGAGUAUACUAAGGGGCGCGAGAUAACUCUCUCUAAGGAACUCGGCAAAAUAACUCCGUAACUUCGGGAGAAGGAGUGCCUUCUUUAAGAAGGUUGCAAUAACAAGAUCCAAGCAACUGUUUAUCAAAAACACAGGUCUCCGCUAAGUCGUAAGACGAUGUAUGGGGGCUGACGCCUGCCCAGUGCCAGAAGGUUAAAGAAGUUGGUUAGCUUUUGCGAAGCUGAUGACUGAAGCCCUGGUGAACGGCGGCCGUAACAAUAACGGUCCUAAGGUAGCGAAAUUCCUUGUCGGGUAAGUUCCGACCCGCACGAAAGGCGUAAUGAUUUGGAUACUGUCUCGGAGAGGGACUCGGUGAAAUAGACUUGUCUGUGAAGAUGCGGACUACCUGCACCAGGACAGAAAGACCCUAUGAAGCUUUACUGUAACUUGAAAUUGAAAUUGGACUUUAUUUGCGCAGUAUAGGUGGAAGGCGUUGAAAGUAAUCUUGCGGGAUUAGUGGAGCCAUCAGUGAGAUACCACUCCUAUAAUGUUAGAUUUCUAACUUUGGAUCAUGAUCUGGUCAAAGAACAGUUUCAGGCGGGCAGUUUGACUGGGGCGGUCGCCUCCCAAAUGGUAACGGAGGCGUACAAAGGUUUCCUCUGAACGGGUAGAAAUCGUAUCUAGAGUGUAAAGGCAUAAGGAAGCUUGACUGUGAGACCUACAAGUCGAGCAGGGACGAAAGUCGGUCUUAGUGAUCUGACGGUGCUGAGUGGAAAGGCCGUCACUCAACGGAUAAAAGUUACUCUAGGAUAACAGGCUGAUCUCCCCCAAGAGUUCACAUCGACGGGGAGGUUUGGCACCUCGAUGUCGGCUCAUCGCAUCCUGGGGCGGUAGUACGUCCCAAGGGUUGGGCUGUUCGCCCAUGAAAGCGGUACGCGAGCUGGGUUCAGAACGUCGUGAGACAGUUCGGUCCAUAUCCGGUGUAGGCGUUAGAAUAUUGAGAGGAGCCUUCUUUAGUACGAGAGGACCGAGAAGGACAUACCUCUGGUGUACCAGUUAUCGUGCCAACGGUAAACGCUGGGUAGCUAUGUAUGGAGAGGAUAACCGCUGAAAGCAUCUAAGUGGGAAGCCCACCUCAAGAUGAG